CGAGUAGUGCUCUGUGUGGCUGCGUUUAUGUUGAUAAAGUUAUGUAUUCAAAAUCACAGGCUGCAAUGGCGGCUUCCAUGUCGUGGAGGAGGUUGUUGUCCUGUCUCAAAAGACCGGCUGUCUCCGGGGUUCUAACCCGAAUGUCCGACCGGUUAUUCCGGAGAAAGGAGCGGAGCAGAGGGUCGUCUGUGUUCCUGCUGGCCCCCCUGCUGGGAGAGGUUUGUUCCCUCCCUGCUCUGGCUCAGCCUCGCCCCCCUGCCUGUCCCACAACCUCAGAGGGGCUGCUGCAGCGCUUUCACUGGGUCGCAGACCAGGCACCAGCUUUCCGGGUCUCAGGGGGGCAGGUGCACGUGCUGCACUCCCCUGACGAGUUCUACCAGAUGAUGAAGGCAAAUAUUAAGACUGCUAAGAGGAGGGUAGUGAUGGCUUCCCUGUAUCUAGGAACAGGACCCCUGGAACAAGAGCUGGUGGACUGCCUACAGGAGGUGCUAGAGAGGUCCCGAGAGGAGAGAAUGGCCCCUGACCUCAAGGUGUCUAUUCUGCUGGAUUAUACAAGAGGAUCUAGAGGUAAGAAGAACUCUCGGAGCAUGCUGCUGCCCCUGCUGCAGAGGUUCUCUGGUCAGAUGCACGUCUCUCUGUACCACACCCCCGACCUGCGCGGAGUCCUCAAGACGCUCAUCCCCGAACGCUUCAACGAGACCAUCGGCUUGCAGCACAUCAAGGUCUACGUGUUCGACGACAGCCUCAUCAUCAGUGGAGCUAAUCUGAGCGACUCGUACUUCACUAACCGGCAGGAUCGGUACAUCUUGCUGCGGGACUGUGCGGAGCUGGCGGAUUUCUUCUCUGAGCUGGUGGGCGCCGUGGGCGACGUGUCUUUGCAGCUGCAGCCGGAUGACACGGUGCAGGUGAAGGAGGGCAUGGUGCACCCCUACAAAGGCGACCACUCAGAAUUCUGCACAGCGGCCAGCAAGCGAAUCAUGCAGGUAGUGGACUUGGCCCGGUCCAGGCAGCAGCUCAGCGCUUCCACAACGGAGGAGACCCAGCGGCGGCAGGGGCCUGGGGACACGUUGGUCUUCCCGCUGGUGCAGAUGAAGCCACUGGGGAUUGGUCUGGAUGAGACGGUGACCAAGCGGCUGCUGACCGAGGCAGGGGACGAUUCCCGAGUCUUCCUCGCCUCCGGCUACUUCAACCUCACCCGUACCUACAUGGAGCUGGUCCUGGGCACCAGGGCCGACUACCGCAUCCUGCUGGCGUCUCCAGAGGUCAACGGCUUUUUCGGUGCCAAGGGUGUGGCCGGAGAGAUCCCGGCAGCCUAUAUCCAGAUUGCCAGGCAGUUCUACAGCAAGGUGUGCCAGAGAGGCCAACAGAACCGAAUCCGGCUGCAUGAGUACAUCAGGAGGGACUGGACCUUCCAUGCCAAGGGUCUGUGGUACUAUCUCCAGGGGAGCGAGCGACCCUGCCUCACUCUGAUUGGCUCCCCCAAUUUCGGGUACCGCUCUGUGCACAGGGACCUGGAAGCCCAGCUUGCUAUAGUCACAGAGAACCAGGGUCUGCAGGCAGAGUUACAGCAGGAGCAGGAGCGACUGUACUCCAUGUCAGCUGAAGUGUCACCUUCGACGUUUGAGCAGCCAAACCGCUCCGUGAAGCUUUGGGUGAAGCUGGUUACCCCUCUCAUCAAGAACUUCUUCUGAAAGGAAGGAAACCCUGCAUGUGUUCCGCAGUGUGACGCUGGCAGCAACACCCCCACCUUCCACUCUCCUCACUGGUGGGGGUGUAGACCCCCCCUCUACAGGCUAAGUCUUCUCCUCCUUGAUCAUCUGUGGAAACACAACCAACAUCAUUACUUACCUCAGGAACUCACCUCCGGGACCUGGACUGAACCACUGUCUUCAGAGAGAGAGGGCCAUGCGAUUAGCCCACUGCGCCACCAGCUCCCACAGUGUUUCACACUGAAAAUAAGGCCAAGUUUGAAAAUAAAGGAAGGAAUCAGAUUUGAACUCAGUAUUCCAAGGAAAGGAUCCAAUUCUUUGAAAAUAAAGGAAGGAAUCAGCAGGAUGUGAACCCAGUACUCCAAGGUGACCACACAACAUGCUAGCAAAUUAUCCCACUGUGCCAUCUCACUUUCAUGGAAAAAGCUUCCUUUAUCAAUGUCUAUAUAGGAAAGGAUCCAAUUCUUUGAAAAUAAAGGAAGGAAUCAGCAGGAUGUGAACCCAGUACUCCAAGGUUAAAGGUCCAGACAAAGGUGGGUCCACGGAUACGUGUCUUAUACACCGGGCAUUCGUAUAUGUUCUUGGUCUCCUGCCUAUCUACUGGAAUGGCUUUGACAAAGAUUACUGGCAUCGAAGGGGUUAAUUCCUUCAGUCUGGCUUCGGCAAUCACUCCGCUUGGAAUGUCCCAGCGAGCUCCUGGAACAUAGAAAAUAUGAAAGACUUCAGCUUUGCUGAUGGGGCAUAGUUUUUAACAGUCAGUACUGCUGGUGUAUUACAGAAUCUGAAAGUCUUGCCGCUAAUGUAGAAGGGUGACAAGGUUUUGGAUAGUGGGAAACACAAUCAAUCUGAUGGUCACUAGCUUUGGCAAAGGAGAAGAAUGUUUUUACUGUACAGUAGACAGAGCUUUGCUUUGUACAUUGCAACAGAAAUAACAUUGCAGCGGGUUGAUAUACUUUAAUGUUAAAAUAACUAAGCAUGAGAGCACGUUCUCCAAUAUAUUAGUUAGCCUUUCAUGUUAUCUGUUUGAAUGGUAAAGAAUAUUUUCAAAUUAUUUUUAUUUUGAUACUUUUGAUCUGUUAACUCAAUUGUAAUAAUGACAUACAUUAUUUACUAAACCUUGCCAUGUUGCAUGUCAUUUUUGUAUUAUUAUUUAUUUUAUUAUUAUUAUUAUUAUUAUUUCCAGUAUUUCUGUCAAAACAUGGCAAAUAAGAAUUUACAUUUUGAAUUGUAAUAUCUGGCAAUGAAAUGACUGCUAAUUGCAUCAUUUCAUGUAUAUUACUUCAGCUGUUUUACUGUUUGUCUUUCAUCGCUUGGAUUGAUGUGAUUUUAUACAUUAAUAAAACGUGCUGCAGGUGUCUCACUUA